rnacentral:misc_RNA from 1 species
GAUGAAGAACGCAGCGAAAUGCGAUAAGUAGUGUGAAUUGCAGAAUUCAGUGAAUCAUCGAAUCUUUGAACGCACAUUGCGCCCCUUGGUAUUCCAUGGGGCAUGCCUGUUCGAGCGUCAUUUGUACCUUCAAGCUUUGCUUGGUGUUGGGUGUUUGUCUCGCCUUUGCGUGUAGACUCGCCUUAAAAUAAUUGGCAGCCGGCGUAUUGAUUUCGGAGCGCAGUACAUCUCGCGCUUUGCACUGAUAACGACAGCGUCCAAAAGUACAUUUUACACUCUUGACCUCGGAUCAGGUAGGGAUACCCGCUGAACUUAAGCAUAUCAAUAAGCGGAGGA